rnacentral:rRNA from 1 species
UGGAUGAGUUGCUAACGGGUGAGUAACGCGUAGGUAACCUGCCUUGUAGCGGGGGGUAACUAUUGGAAACGAUAGCUAAUACCGCAUAACAAUGGAUGACACAUGUCAUUUAUUUGAAAGGGGCAAUUGCUCCACUACAAGAUGGACCUGCGUUGUAUUAGCUAGUAGGUGAGGUAAUGGCUCACCUAGGCGACGAUACAUAGCCGACCUGAGAGGGGGAUCGGCCACACUGGGACUGAGACACGGCCCAUACUCCUACGGGAGGCAGCAGUAGGGAAUCUUCGGCAAUGGGGGCAACCCUGACCGAGCAACCCCGCGUGAGUAAAGAAGGUUUUCGGAUCGUAAAGCUCUGUUGUAAGUCAAGAACGGGUGUCAGAGUGGAAAGUUCACACUGUGACGGUCGCUUACCAGAAAGGGAC